GACUGAGUGAUCUUCAACAUUGCUGUUUUUACUGCCAUAGAUGCUCACAUUAGAAAGCGCACGCCUUUUAGAGCUGACUGGAGAAAAAUAGACGGUGUUUUAAUCAUCUCAAAGGGUUAAUGGAGUGCACAACCCAACAGGCCUGUUUGUGAAUGACACUGUCAGUUUUUUUUUAGGGUUUUAUUGGCUACAGCUCAGGAAUCAUCUUCGUCUGGAAUAGUUACUGGCCUGUCCUAAAAUCCUGAGAGUGUAAUCCUGACAUAAGACCGACAGACAGAGAAAGAGAGAGAGAUGGUGGUCAUGAACCAGGGAAGCGUAAGUGACUACAUGUGACAGCACACCACACUUUAUCCAUGGCAGCCCUGUAGAGAAGAGCCUGCCUGCUCGCCAAAGCCUCCAUCUGUCUGCGGCCCUGCGAGGAGUAUCCGCUAUUCACCACACUUACACUCUGCCCCAUGCUGGUCUGCUUGGUCCACGCCAACGCCAACUCUGCUGGUGAGAGCUAUAUUUACAAACAGCUGCCGUGGCACUGGGUAGAGUACCAUGAGAGGGGAGAGAAACACUGUUUUGCAUGAGCAGGUUAAACUGUCACACUCCUAAUACAUUACAAUAUCAGCUCAGUUAUUUCUGUAUGUUAGUCUAGCACUGAUUCAUAAAAUGUUUGUGGAAAGGUAUAUUUGACAAUGCAUGCAUUCCUGUACACUUAAUAAAAGCGACUGAGCCAUUUUUAUUUGAUAAUAUUUUAAUAUUUUCUCCUCAAUAGAAAUUUCUGUGUAAAUAAACAUUUGUUGCAGGAGACUAACAGGCAUAUAGAGGAGCAUCAGUCAUACGACACUGCAGAAUAAAGGGCAAGUUUGUUAGCUAGACAGGAUGCCAUGUGGAGCAUAGCAGUGUUUUUCAAACAUUUUGAAUGAAAAAAAAAAUCUACUCUUAGCACAGAAGCCCACAUUGCACAUGGCUACUUGAUAGUU